UGGAUUGAUGGUGACUACUGGUGACAUAUAAGUCAUAUGAUGAAUAUGUUUCUGGAACUCUGAGGUCCAU